rnacentral:snoRNA from 1 species
AAGACUAUACUUUCAGGGAUCAAUUCUAUAGUUUCUGAUUUGAGAAAUGUGUUUCUAAAGUGUUUGAUCUUGCCAACCAUGAGAAUGAAUUGUGAUAUUUCCUUCUGAGCAAGAAGAAGAUGGAGACUAAUGAUCCUUCAUAUCUUCUGUCACUGAUGAUUGUUCUUUGCUUCCUAGUGGAGCACUGAGGAGGGGAAUAUGAUCCGAGUGAU